ACGUAGGGUCCAAGCGUUAAUCGGAAUUACUGGGCGUAAAGCGUGCGCAGGCGGUUUUGCAAGACCGAUGUGAAAUCCCCGGGCUUAACCUGGGGAUUGCGUUGGAUACUGCACGGCUAGAGUGUGGGAGAGGGGGGUAGAAUUCCACGUGUAGCGGUGAAAUGCGUAGAGAUGUGGAGGAACACCGAUGGCGAAGGCAGCCUCCUGGACUAACACUGACGCUCAUGCGCGAAAGCGUGGGGAGCAAACGG
rnacentral:rRNA from 1 species